GUGACACAGUAAGGUAGGUCAGCACGCGAUUGGAAGAGCGUGUUUAAGCAGGUAGGUUGAGCUAUAGGCAAAUCCGUAGUUCUAAAAGCUGAGAUGUGAUGACGAGCGACUAGCAAUAGUCGCGAAGUGAUUGAUCCUACACUGUCGAGAAAAGCUUCUAGGUAGAGACACAUCGCCCGUACCAAAACCGACACAGGUAGGCGGGGAGAGAAUCCUAAGGUGCGCGGGAAAACCCUCGUUAAGGAACUCGGCAAAAUGCCUCCGUAACUUCGGGAAAAGGAGGACUCAUGUAGUGUGAAGAGCAGAAGCGCUUGGAGCAUGAAUGAGUGGCACAAGAGAGGCGCAAGCGACUGUUUACCACAAACACAGGUGCCUGCUAAAGCGAAAGCUGAUGUAUAGGUGCUGACACCUGCCCGGUGCUGGAAGGUUAAGAGGAGUGCUUAGCGUAAGCGAAGGUAUGAAUUGAAGCCCCAGUAAACGGCGGCCGUAACUAUAACGGUCCUAAGGUAGCGAAAUUCCUUGUCAGGUAAGUUCUGACCCGCACGAAUGGCGUAAUGACUUGGGCACUGUCUCAACUGUAAAUCCGGCGAAGUUGUAGUGCGAGUGAAGAUGCUCGCUACCCGCGAUUGGACGGAAAGACCCCGUAGAGCUUUACUGUAGCUUAGCAUUGAGUUUUGGUAUUGUCUGUACAGGAUAGGUGGGAGACUUAGAACCUAGGACGCCAGUUUUAGGGGAGUCGCUGUUGGGAUACCACCCUUUCAUUAAUUGAUUUCUAACGGGCCGAGUAACGACCGGCCGGACAGUCUUAGGCGGGCAGUUUGACUGGGGCGGUCGCCUCCUAAAAAGUAACGGAGGCGCCCAAAGGUUCCCUCAGAACGGUCGGAAAUCGUUCGAAGAGUGCAAAGGCAGAAGGGAGCCUGACUGCGACACCCACAAGUGGAGCAGGGACGAAAGUCGGGCUUAGUGAUCCGGUGGUACCUCGUGGGAGGGCCAUCGCUCAACGGAUAAAAGCUACCUCGGGGAUAACAGGCUGAUCUCCCCCAAGAGUCCACAUCGACGGGGAGGUUUGGCACCUCGAUGUCGGCUCGUCGCAUCCUGGGGCUGAAGUAGGUCCCAAGGGUUGGGCUGUUCGCCCAUUAAAGCGGCACGCGAGCUGGGUUCAGAACGUCGUGAGACAGUUCGGUCCCUAUCCAUCGCGGGCGCAAGAAACUUGAAGGGGGCUGCUCCUAGUACGAGAGGACCGGAGUGGACGAACCGCUGGUGUACCAAUUAUCCUGCCAAGGGUACAGUUGGGUAGCUACGUUCGGGACGGAUAAACGCUGAAAGCAUCUAAGCGUGAAACCAGCCUUGAGAUGAGGUUUCUCAUAGCGUAAGCUAGUAAGAUCCCAUGUAGACGACAUGGUAGAUAGGCCAGGUGUGGAAGAGCCGUGAGGUUUGGAGCUGACUGGUACUAAUCGAUCGAGGGCUUUACUU
rnacentral:rRNA from 1 species